rnacentral:lncRNA from 1 species
GGGAGGCGGAGCUUGGAGUGAGCGGAGAUCACGCCACUGCACUCUAGCCUGGGCGACAGAGAGAGACUCCGUCUCAAAAAAAAAAAACAAAAAACAAAAAACAAAAAAGAAAUCAUUAUCGUUCUGGGGAAUCCACCUGCCAUGGUGAGUAGCACUACAAGAGAGGCCCAUGCAGCAAAGAAUUGAAACCUCUAAACAAUAGCCAUAUGCAUGUAUGUGAUCUGCAGAAGCUGGUCAGGAUCCAACUUGCAUUUACUACAUUUCCAUGGAUGUUCAGUUGCCAUCUUCUGCCUACUCCUGAGCUUUCAUCCAAGAGAAAUCAGUGUUUGCUUUACAAGACUUCCGGUUGUCUAACCCAAAUGCCAAUUUUAUAUGGGCACCCUGCCACUCUUCUAAAAGACUACAUUUUGCAGGCAAUUUUGCAACCAGGUAACUUCAUUCUGGUCAACGAGAUUUAAGCAAAGUGUUUUGUGGGACUUUAGGAAAGCCUCCUUAAAUGGGAAAAGGAAAGAAGAUUCAAGGAGGAACUGAAAUACAGAGAGGCUCCUUUGCAAACCAGUAUCAAACAGAUGCCAGUCACUUGUAACAUCUGCCCUACCAUUGGAAUAACAUAAUGAGAGGCCUGGGCAACCCAGAGAGAAGUGUAAAUGACAUCAGUUACUAAUAAGAACACUGCUGAAUUUUGAAAAACUUUUGCAUGCUUUAAUUUCUCCAUAUUUUAAGUAAUUAUACUAAUUAUGAGAGUGCUGUGUAUUAUUAGUUGUUUGGUCACAAAUAAAAACAAAAUUCAUUUCAAA